rnacentral:ncRNA from 2 species
UACUUGGUUGAUCCUGCCAAGGAAGCACACUUAGGUCAUAGAUUAAGCCAUGCAAGUGUUAGUUCAGGUAACGAAACUGCGAAUAGCUCAUUAAUACGCUCAGAAUCUAUUUGGCGGCGACCAACAGGUCUUAAAUGGAUAGCAGCAGCAACUCUGGUGCUAAUACAUGCGAUUGUUUCUCCAGAUGUGAAUUAUGGAGGAAAAGUUGACCUCAUCAGAGGCACGCCAUUCGACUGAGUGACCUAUCAGCUUGUACUUAGGGUCUUUACCUAGGUAGGCUAUCACGGGUAACGGGCGGUUACCGUCGGACUGCCGGAGAAGGCGCCUGAGAGAUAGCGACUAUAUCCACGGGUAGCAGCAGGCGCGAAACUUUCCCACUCGAGACUUUCGGAGGAGGUAAUGACCAGUUCCAUUGGUGCCUUUUGGUACUGUGGAUAGGGGUACGGUUUUCCACCGUACCGAAACCUAGCAGAGGGCCAGUCUGGUGCCAGCAGCUGCGGUAAUUCCAGCUCUGCGAGUUUGCUCCCAUAUUGUUGCAGUUAAAACGCCCGUAGUCUGAAUUGGCCAGCAAUGGUCGUACGUAUUUUUACGUUCACUGUGAACAAAUCAGGACGCUUAGAGUAUGGCCACAUGAAUGACUCAGCGCAGUAUGAAGUCUUUGUUUUCUUCCGAAAACAAGCUCAAUGAGAGCCAUCGGGGGUAGAUCUAUCUCAUGACGAGUGGUGGAAUACUUUGA